GACGAACGCUGGCGGCGUGCCUAAUACAUGCAAGUUGAGCGCUGACGGUUGGUACUUGUACCAACUGGAUGAGCAGCUAACGGGUGAGUAACGCGUGGGGCAUCUGCCUUUGAGCGGGGGACAACAUUUGGAAACGAAUGCUAAUACCGCAUAAAAACUUUAAACACAAGAUUUAAGUUUGAAAGAUGCAAUUGCAUCACUCAAAGAUGAUCCCGCGUUGUAUUAGCUAGUUGGUGAGGUAAAGGCUCACCAAGGCGAUGGUACAUAGCCGACCUGAGUGGGUGAUCGGCCACAUCGGGACUGGGACACGGCCCAAACUCCCACGGGGAGCAGCAGGUGGGGAUCUUCGGUAAUGGAGGAAAGUCUGACCGAGCAACGCCGCGGGAGGGAAGAAGGUUUUCGGAUCGUAAAACUCUGUUGGUAGAGAAGAACAUUGGUGAGAGUGGAAAGCUCAUCAAGUGACGGUAACUACCCAGAAAGGGACGGCUAACUACGUG
rnacentral:rRNA from 1 species